rnacentral:lncRNA from 9 species
UUUUUCUUUUUUUUUUUUUUUUUUUGUCUUUUUAGGGCUGCACUCACAGCAUAUUAAUGGUCCCAGGCUGGCAGCUACAGCUCUGAUUAAACCCCUAGCCUGGGAAUCUCCAUAUGCCACAGGUGUGGCCCUAGAAAAGACAAAAAAAUAUAUAAAUUAUUGAGCUCCUGCAAGGAGUCAGGAGUAUGCCAGGCCAUGCAGCUACUACACAGGCAUGGCUCAUGUUUUGUGCAAGCUAAUUUUUUUUACUUCGGUAAAGAUAACAUUAUUCCGCGAAGGGAGGCUAAAUAUUAUAGAAAAGAACAGAAGUAAGAUGCCUCCAUAAAUGGAGGAAAAUGCAUAAGAAUGGAAAUUGAAGUGUGUUUUCAGUUUGGGUAAAUAAACAUAUAGAUCAGUUGCUCUUAUGUGAAUAAUUAAAUAAGUUGGUUCCCAUGAUGUUAAUCCUUUCUGAAAUUAACGUGUUUUCAUAUACUGGUUUCAAUUUGUCAUUUGCCAGUGAAGGCUUUUAGAUAACCAUUAAGGGAAAUCUGCAUAAGUCAAGACAAAGAAGAGGCAAUCUCCCUAGUAUAGCAAAGUGUCAGAGCUGAGAAUAAACAUAAAGUAGCUAGUCUGUUGUAAAGUCAUUUGGAAGGGGCGUAUUUUUCUGUGGCCACCAUAGCUAUAUAUGUAUAUCAGAGCAAAUAAGUCAUAUUGAUCGUAUCAUCUAGAAAUCAGUAUUUAGUUAGCCUCAAAAAAUAUCUCAAAGUUCAAAGUCUCAAAUUUCCUUUGAAGUUAAAAAAGAGAGAAUAUAGUAAAUAGGUAAGGCUUUGGAUAUAAGACAGGAAAAUGUUGAAAGAAAACUAUUUCAUUAUCAUCAAAAUCACUUACUGAGUUCUACUGUAUUUAUAUCUUUUCUUUUAGAGUGGUAAAGUUAAAAGAAAAUUUAAACCUUUUCUUCCAAGAAUGUACAAUUUAAAAUGAAAAAUUAAAUGUAGAAAAGGCUAACUGAUACAUAGAAUAUGUUCUAUUUAGGAAUGGCUUCUUGGAUAAGGACAUAAUAUUCAUGCUUCUGUGUCUGUAAUGGUAAUUGAAUCAGCAUUAUCUCUAAGUUUACUAGUAACCCAGACAUUGUGAUUUUGGAUUUGAACUCUAAGGCGUCAAGUUCAAGUGUUGAGCUGUAUGUUCUCUAUUAUAUAGUUGGAAAAUUCAACCUUGGUUGCCUAAUGUUUCAUAAAUCAUUAUACAUAUGUAACAUGUUUUAAACAGCUUUCCAUAUAAUUCUUGUGAAUUGGUUUUGUAGAUAUGGCUAGAGAUUUUUUUUAGAUUAUUUACAGGUAACAUUAGGAGAUAUGUUUAAAUACAAUUUUUCCUUAUAAAAUGGUACCCAAACAUUUGUGUUUGCUAAAUAAUAUUAAAUGUACAUUCUUUAUUAGUGUAGGUGGAAAAUAAUUUUCUCUGCAUGUAACCCAGUCUUGCAUAAACAAGCAAGGAAGCCUUAAUUCAAAGCUAUUGCAGCAGGAGAGAGAGGCCAGAACUCAAUCUGAGUUCUUCUCCAAGGAAAACAACAGGCAGGAGAGUUUUAAGAGGUGAGGUGGAGGCAUCUCAGUUUGCCUUUGUGAACUGGGUUUACCUACAGGAAAAGGAAACUUUUUCAUAGGAUAGGAAAUAGUUUUAUAACUUAUAGCAAAUUAGGCUCCUACCUUCCUACAGACACUGAAAGAUAAGGGCACUUUUUUCCUCGAGGGCUAUGUUUCAAAAGAAUGGAUUCUAGGUCCUUGAGGAAGAUAUUUCUGUGCUGUAAAACUGGCAAGGACCUUUUAAAAAUAUUUACAUUUCAAAGGAGCAGAGAGAGAUUGUAUAAUGAUAUGUUAUCUAAAGUAAAAGCUCUAAGAAAAGAGAGAUGAAGGGCUUAGAAUCAGCAAGAUAACUGUAAAGUUUAGUCAAGCUGAGGGAGACCAACUUGACGAAUGUGUAUGUGGCAAUUAUAUGUUAUACUUUGGACUUUUCUGAAGUUCUUUGACUGUGGACCUCUGGGUGUGACUUGUUUGCACCUUUGGAAGGGGGAGGAACAAUAAGAUGAUGCUUUGCCAUUCUUCUUUACUCUCUUACUGUUUAUUUUUGUCUUUAAAUUUUAUAAGUUGAGAAGAAAUUAGCUAUUUAUCCUAGUAACAAGCAAUAAUGAAAUAAGUUAUUGGAACUGCACAGAAGAUUAUCAUAGAAAUACAAUUAGUGGUAGUAUUUUUAGUGCUUGUAUUGAACUUAGCUAUCCUGAUGCAUAGAGAAGAGAUGUGGUUAUAUUAUAAAGAUAAGUAAGUCAAGGCAAGUUAUGCUGAACAAUUGCUUAAACAGAAAAGCCUUAUUCUUAUUCUAGCAGUUUCUUACUUUCAAACUGGAAUUAAAAGAGAAGGAGGGUUUAUGUGUCAUCUUGGUAAGGAGACAAUAAUAACUGUAAAUUUUCAUUCUCCUUUAGAAUUUUUUAAACAAAAGGCUUUACUUUCUGGAAAAUUCUGUAGUCCUAUGAUGCUGAAACAUUAUUCAUUAUAAAAGGAUUCAUAAAAAUAAUGAUAAAAAGAGCUACCUAGCUAAUUCUUAAUUCUCUGAAAGUGAAAGCUCUCUAAUACCUAUUUUUGAAUGCUAUUGAGGGUAAUUAGAUAUGAUUUUCCAGUUGCUAGGGAAAGAACAGAUGUGACUGGGCUUCCUGAGAUCAUAAUUCUGUGGUGCUAAUGUGAUGCUGACCGUGUGAGGGGAUGUGAAGGUGAGACAGUUCUCAGAAGAUGUAAGGAUUUGGAACUGGAAGUCUUUGAACUAUAUUUAAAGGCAUCUUUAGCAAGGACUGAAAAUCAUCUUAUUUUUGCCUUCCUGUAUUUUCUCCUUUCUUUGUCCCCUUUUGCCGUCCUACUGCAGCUGAAUUCUUAGGUUCUCUCUCCUGUCUCUUCCUUUCCAACCUUUUCCUUCUAUUUUUCUCCUUUAGGACUGUUCUUUAGGAAAAUAGGACACUGAAAGAAUGUGCAAUGUCGAACAGCCAUCAGGGAGUAAGUCCUAAUCAUGCCAGUACUGAGUAAGCCAUGUCUGAAGACUCAGCCUUUCCUCUGGGUUUAAUAGGAUAAAGCUCGUCAUGGAAAAGGAAUUGAGAAAUGUGGCUUUACUGAUAAGGAAGCUUCACCAUAAACUAUGAAUUAGCAGCAGCUCACUGGAUUUAGUUCGGCUAUUAUGAUGCCUUUUUUACCCCCUGGAUUCUGUGGAUGUAUCACCUAGGACAAUGACCCUCCAUCUAUUUGCACAGGUGCAAGGGGGAAAAAAAAGCCCUAAAAUGUACACACAGACUCUCUCUCUCUCUCUCUCACACACACACACACACACACACACACACACACACAAGCAUGCCAAUCAUACUAAAUUACAGAAAAGAAUAAUUCAUCAACAAAGGAAAUGUUAUGAAGUCCUGUGACUCAUCAUUCAUGAUUUACUCAUAAUGCCAAUUAAAAAAUAAUUUUGAAAUAAGUUGACAGAUUGAACCAGAGGCAUAAGUCUAAGCUCUCCAGGAUGUGUAGCUCGUCACAGUAAACACUAUGGGAACAGCUGCUGUCUUUGUGUGGCUCACACCUAGGUUGCUUUUGUUGACCCUAAUGAUGACAAAACCAAUUAGCAGAUUAGAAAUUGCCAGAAAUCAGAGCUACCUUGCUUAAGAAUCGCUGAAAUUGAAUAGUAUUUUGGCUAAUGCUAUUUUCUGUUCAUCUAAAGAUUUACAGAAUUAAGACUGUUUUGUCUGUAAACAUCUGUUGCUUCAGGAGAGCAUCUAUCAUGCAGUUGCCAAAUGAGGUAGACAUAUGUGCCUAUGAAAAGCCUUAAGAUCUGUGGUACUACUGAAUUUCUUACCAAGGAUUAAACCUUUUAAUCAAGCUUUUUAAAAAUAAACCUACUUUAUAAAAUGAACUGGUGGCUAGUUUAAUGUAAAGGAGAGUAGUUGAAAGGAUAUUUCAUUUAAAUGUAAAUAUGGACUAUGAGUUAUUAAAGAGAAUGUGGCUUUUCAUAUUCUUAUUUUUCUGGACACAUGGGAUUGGAGUCACCUUUUGAACUUGCACAGUAAGCUUCUAAACUUAAAUCUUACUGUUGGGGAUUUAAGUUCUUUAUUUUCACAGUUAAAAGACAAAUGCUACCUAAAGCUUUAUCUGCAGCAUUAAUUUUUCCCAUAAAGACAGGGGAACUGAAUUAGCAGGGGAAAGGGUAGAACUCUGGAACAUUUAGGUCAUAGCUUUAGAAUCUGAGCUCUCAGCAGUUUCAUGCUUUGUGGAUAAUUAAAAUCGAUACAAAAUAAUUACACAGCUGGAAGGAUCUCCAGAUACUUAAUCCAGUCCCUUUCCUCCAGGAGAAACACACUCUAGUCGAAACUAACUUCCGUACAAGCAGCGAAAAAGAAAUAGGAAACCCUAGAUUCACUCUCCGUGCUUACUAAGAACACUGCAGGUGUUCAACAGGAAAUUAUUGUAUUACUCUUAUAAGGAUGAUGUAAGCAUCAUACAGUAGUCUUCUGCAAUACCAGGAUUAGCAGUGGAAGGCGGUGAUGGCCAAAAUGACUGUCAUUUUUAGUGUCUUUUAUGCCAUAAAAGCCCAGAGCAAGUGCUACUGCCUCCAUGAAACCUUGCUGGUCUCAAAAUCCAUUGGUUAUUCAAUUUUUGGUAUCUUUAUUUAGUAAGGCUUUAGGAUGUGUACAUGCAUAAGUCUGUAUUAUGGAUAUAGACGGCUGUGUAAAGCAGCUUUUGACAUCUCUCCGCCUCAGUGAGAAGUCCAUGAAUGCUACUCGCCAGAACCAAGCAGAAUGCUUUGUACUUAGUCAUUACUUAGCACAUGCUGGCUCAUAAUAUUUUUUUCUAAAACUGGUGAAGCUAAUUUUCCUUAUUGUUCUGUCCUCAGGGCAGGUGAGGACAAUCAUGAGAUGUGUUGAGUCUCCUGGCUAUUUCAAUUCUCUAUCUCAACAUUAUGUUCCUCUUUAUUUCAUUUUUAAGGCUCCUUUUCUACUUUAUAGAGGUCAAAUAUCAUAAGAACAAAGUAAAGCACAUAUUUCCAGGUUCCAUUAAUGUUCCACUUUCUUCAAGUAAAAUUUAAUGUGACAAAAUUAGUCUACAACAAAAGAUUUGUGGAUGGUCUCUUGGAGUUCAAUUUUAUUUUUUAGAUACACUUUUCUGAAAAGAAAAAAAAAA